GACGAACGCUGGCGGCGUGCCUAACACAUGCAAGUCGAGCGAUUCUCUUCGGAGAAGAGCGGCGGACGGGUGAGUAACGCGUGGGUAACCUGCCCUGUACACACGGAUAACAUACCGAAAGGUAUGCUAAUACGAGAUAAUAUACUUUUAUCGCAUGGUAGAAGUAUCAAAGCUCCGGCGGUACAGGAUGGACCCGCGUCUGAUUAGCUAGUUGGUAGGUAACGGCUUACCAAGGCGACGAUCAGUAGCCGACCUGAGAGGGUGAUCGGCCACAUUGGAACUGAGACACGGUCCAAACUCCUACGGGAGGCAGCAGUGGGGAAUAUUGCACAAUGGGCGAAAGCCUGAUGCAGCAACGCCGCGUGAGCGAUGAAGGCCUUCGGGUCGUAAAGCUCUGUCCUCAAGGAAGAUAAUGACGGUACUUGAGGAGGAAGCCCCGGCUAACUACGUGCCAGCAGCCGCGGUAA
rnacentral:rRNA from 1 species